ACAGACACAGCACACGAAACGCAGCAAACCCAGCCCGAAUAAAGAAUGGGACCAAGAGCAUGACAGGGGCAGGAAUGACUUCCCUACGGUUGCCAAGUUCAUCCCCCAAUGUCAUCUCUUUUAACCUUCACAGAAACUCUGAGACAAACCUCACUACUAUCACUCUCCAAAGAAGAAAACCAAGGUUCACAGAGUGUUGGUGCCCGAGGCCACAGAGCGGAGCGGAGCUAAAACAGGAUUUUAAUGUUUGAGUCCUCAGUCUCCUCCGGUCUCCUGUGAGGGUGUGUCAAAGGACUGCAGAAAAUAGAGUUAAACCCCUCUGGGUGACAUCACAUCUAAAAACAAGUAUCUGCAGAACAGUUCAUCCAAACUAGUUCAGUGAUCUGCCCUCGGCUCGGAAUGUAAACCCGGGACAAAACAAACUGUAUAGACUUGAGACCACCGUAUCCUAAUACUACAGAUGAGGAGCCCUUGGCCAGGUGACCUUGCCACCACACUGUCGUGGAGAUCUGCGCUGACUUUUCCAUCCACCCACCCGAGCUGGCUCCUCAGCAGCACUGGGUCCACGCAGGGAGGGAGCUACACGCCUCAUGGAGGAGCAGGACGACCCACCAAGGAGGAGAACAGUGAACAGCCGCUCUCCUCUCCCUUAUGCCCCCACGCUCCCUGUCUACCUGCCACCAACCCACCUGGGUCCCCACCACCAGCACCAUUUUAUGCAGCAUUCCGGGCUGGCUCUGAGGCUGUUUUCUGACCUUGACUUUGCUAUUUCCAAAGGUCAGUUCCACAAGAGGACAAUCAAUUAAGUAAGUCAUGGAGAGGAUGUGGGUUGUUUCCCUUUGUUAAUUGUGGCAUGAGGACAGGAACGAGGAAGAGACAAAGACUCUGAUCCCCACGGUCACUUGCUUAGAGGGAAGGAGCAGAGCCAGAGAGAGAAUGAGGAAGGCUCUCUCAGAUGAUGCUAGGUCCUAAAGUCACCGCUUUCUCCACUGCCAUUCUGCUUUGAGCCACCUCUGUCCUGAGAGACAGAAGGAGGUGGGAAGGAAACAGGACACACAGAGGGUCCUCUUCCAGAUAUUGCCUGGACACUGACUUGAUAAGCUGGAUGCCUGAAGGAAGACCCCUUCCCCCCAGGGAUGAGAGUCCCAGAGUCUCUAGAAGGCUUACCAGCUGUCAUGGAAGCAGUUUAAUAUUCUAAUAAUUGGUCUACCCGAACCAGCCGAAGGUAAGC